CAGAAAUUCAGAAUUAAAGAAAUGUAAAAAUUGUUUCCAGAUGACAUCAUUUGGUGCUACACAUAUUAUACAAGACAAUUUCGUGCCCACUUUUAAGAUACAAGGACAAUUUUAUCACUUACUGGGAACUCUGUUACCACUACCUGAUGCGGAUCAUCAAUUUUUACAAAUUUAUUUUAUGGGCAAUUCAGAUGCGGAAAUUAAUAAUCGUUG